rnacentral:rRNA from 1 species
CCCUUUAAAGAGUGCGUAAUAGCUCACUAGUCGAGUGCUCUUGCGCGGAUAAUGUACCGGGGCUAAGCAUAUUACCGAAACUGUGGAUGCGUAAGCAUGGUAGGAUAGCGUAAUUAACGCGAUGAAGGAUGACCGUAAGGACAUGUUGGAGCGUUAACUAGUGAGAAUUCCGGUAUGAGUAGCGAAAGAUAGGUGAGAAUCCUAUCCACCGAAUGAGUAAGGUUUCCCCCGGAAGGCUCGUCCGCGGGGGGUUAGUCGGGACCUAAGGCGAGGCUGAAAAGCGUAGUCGAUGGACAACAGGUUGAUAUUCCUGUACCGAUAUUUAAUUGCCGAAGGAAGGACGCAGAAGGAUAACACAGGCCACUAUUGGAUGUGGUUUUAAACAGUUAGUCUUCAUAAGAGUCAAAUGCUUUUAUGUUUAAGGAUAAGCUGUGAAUGUACCAAGUUUACUUGGAAAUUGUGUGAUUUCACGCUGCUGAAAAAAGUUUCGUAGGAAGAAAAUAUUGCCCGUACCGCAAACCGACACAGGUACUCGAGUGGAGAACACUAAGGUGAGCGAGUGAACUAUUGUUAAGGAACUCUGCAAAAUGAGUCCGUAACUUCGGAAGAAGGACUGCUGGUUUUAUACCAGCCGCAGCAAAUAGGCCCAAACAACUGUUUAUCAAAAACACAGGUUUCUGCAAAAUCGUAAGAUGAAGUAUAGGGGCUGACGCCUGCCCAGUGCUGGAAGGUUAAAAGGAGGACUUAGCUUCGGCGAAGGUCUUAAUUGAAGCCCCAGUGAACGGCGGCCGUAACUAUAACGGUCCUAAGGUAGCGAAAUUCCUUGUCGGGUAAGUUCCGACCCGCAUGAAAGGCGUAAUGAUUUGGGCGCUGUCUCAACAAUAGACUCGGUGAAAUUUAAAUUCCAGUGAAGAUGCUGGGUACCCGCGACAGGACGGAAAGACCCCGUGGAGCUUUACUGUAGCUUGAUAUUGAAUGUUUGUGCUGCAUGUGCAGGAUAGGUAGGAGACUUUGAAGUCGGAACGCUAGUUUCGAUUGAGUCACCCUUGAGAUACUACCCCUGUUGUAUGAACGUUCUAACUCUGAUCAGUUAUCCUGAUCGAAGACAGUGUCUGGCAGGCAGUUUGACUGGGGCGGUCGCCUCCUAAAAGAUAACGGAGGCGCUCAAAGGUUUGCUCAGAAU